UAGCGGCGAGCGAACAGGGAAGAGCCCAGCGCCGAAUUCCGCGUCUCAAAGGGCGUUUGGAACAUGUGGCGUUUAGGAGGAAUCUCUCCGAGGGCAGACGGUGUCGCAAGUCCCCCUGAACGGGGCUGUGAUCCAGAGCGGGUGCGAGGCCCAUAGCUGGUACCGUCUCCUUUGGGUGUCCCCUCCUUGGAGUCGGGUUGCUUGGGAGUGCAGCCCUAAUUGGGUGGUAAACUCCACCUAAGGCUAAAUACGUCCGUGAGACCGAUAGCAAACAAGUACCGUGAGGGAAAGUUGCAAAGAACUUUGAAGAGAGAGUUCAAGAGUACGUGAAACCGCUCAGAGGCAAACGGGUGGGCCCACGAAAGCCGAAGGCGGGGGGAUUCAGUCGAGAGGACGGUGGGGCAGGACUGGCUGGUUGGACGGACCGUGCCAGGCCGGGUCAGUUCCCGAGAUCUGCCGCCUUUCGACGCAUUUCCCCCUGCUUAGUAGGACGCCGCAACCGGUUGGCGCUGCAGCCAUAAGGGAGAGUAAAUGGAAGGUAGCCAGUGAGUUCUUCUUCGGAGGCGCGAGCUGGUCCUAAGCCGACUCUCCUGGUGCUUGUGGCCCGACCGUGGUCGUGAGUCCCUCAACGGGAUGUCGCCGAGCCCUCUGACUGGAGCGGGAGAAGUGGCAGGCUGCUUUCCGCGGAAAAAAUCGAUCGCUUCACGCGUGCAGUGGGCGAUCUCCGGAGGUAGCUGCUGGUGCGUUUUUCUCCUGCGCUGGGCACAGGCAGUUGGCGGCGAGUAGGUCGGUCACCCACCCGACCCGUCUUGAAACACGGACCAAGGAGUCUAACAUGUGCGCGAGUCAUUGGGUCUUGAACAAGCCCAAAGGCGCAAUGAAAGUGAAGACCAGCACUGAAGCUGGUGGAGUUGGGAAACUGUGUCACUGAAGAUGCAGUUGCACCAACGGCCCGUCCCGUCCGCAUUGUCGGUGGGGCGGAGCGAGAGCGUACACGUUGGGACCCGAAAGAUGGUGAACUAUGCCUGGGCAGGACGAAGCCAGAGGAAACUCUGGUGGAGGUCCG
rnacentral:rRNA from 1 species